ensembl:lncRNA
GCACACUACUGACAGGGACAUCACUUUCAUGAAACAUUUACUUCUCUGCACCUGAAUAUUGGAGUAAUCAUAUAGAGAGUCGACACACCAUGAAAUAGAGUUAGACUGAAGAUUCUGAGAAGAAAAUAGCAGACUGUCACUCAAAAUAAAGUUCAUUUUAUACCCAGCAGAGCUAGGUUAAAAGACAUUUCCAUGCACUGAAAAUGCUUUCCAUCUUUAAAGCUGCAGUUUAAAAGAAAAAUGUUUUCCUCAUAUUUUUCUUCAGUGGCUUAAGGGAUAAUUACACUCUGGGACUUGCAUUUGGGAGAGCUUGUACUUUCUUGCCCUGUGUUAUUUGGAUGAAGUUAGAAUUAGAGAAGGUUGACGGAUGCUGAAAACUGAACUUUGCGACCUCGUCAAGAGCACCGCAAGCUGCCUCUGGAAAACUUCAUCUUACUUUCUCAUGCAGACCCACAAGGGACUGCGAGGAUGUCCUGUUUUAUGAUUUCUGCAGACAAGCUUGUGCCACACAAUGCUGGGAAUAAAGUGGAGAUGGGAUGCACGUGUGGGGAUAGCUGGAAGAACUGAAAGGAGGCAGCUUGUGUGCUUCCUCUUCCACACGGGACUGACGUGGGUAGGAGCAUCCUUUGCACCAGAUUGGAUCCCAAGGAGCUGAAGGAUCCACGCCCCAAGAUUAGUUCAUCUGUUGGAUCUCUCUGUUCUCAGUGCCACCUUCUCCUGUGGGUGCACUGGGAGGGGCAAGGAGAAGUGCCAGCGUUUCAUCUCUGUGUGACAUCGUUUCCAUAUGACUGCUGGGAAGGCAGAAAGGCCCCAGCUGCUCCUGCUGGCAUCACUAUGGGUGGUUUUCCAAUUCCUUCCUACAGAGCUUGCAAAUUAAAU